rnacentral:misc_RNA from 1 species
GUUCGCAAGUGUGCAUCUGCAGAUGUGCGGAGCCCUUCCUGCACCGGCUCGAAGAAAGUGUAGCUGCUCUUCAUAUUUCCUUUUUGUGUAUACACACAUACACAAGCAGACCAGCAGACAGAGCUGGAAUGUAUGGCGACAACGAAACGGGAGAAGAGAAGCGAUACACCAUGCCAGCAGCAAGGAGAAGCGGGAGGCGUUUUUUUUUCGUUUGGUCUUGCUUUCUCCUCCUCAGCUUUUUAUUCUUUGUUUGUACCCGGCGAGUGACCUGCUUUUCUUUUCGUUGUUAUUACGUAAAGGAUAACCCGCAAGUGAGAGUCCAUCACGAGUGGAGAAGGAAAACGCAAAGCAAAAACCAUUGGUGCACUUGCACCUCUGUUUUUUCUCCCUCUUCGUGUGCGUGUGUGUGUGUGCCGGCACAAUCGUAUGGUUGCGUCUCGCCUUCUUGCUGACAUGUGUCUGGGUGUCUUUCACGCUGUCUAUGCUGGGCCUGCGAGUCUUGUGCGACUGUGACGAGCGUUUCAUGGAGGGAGGCGGGAAACCUGUGGUGGUGAAACACAGAUACAGGAUCCACACAGAAACACACACAAAAAGGGAAAAGGGGGAUGCGAAUGUUAGUGAUGCGGGGGUGACGGUGCCCGUGUAGUUCAAAAGGAAUCAUGUCACUCCCUUUCACGUUCUGUUUUCUUUACUUGCAAGCUUAGCUGUUUGCAAUGCGAUAAUGAGCACGUGUGCAUGAGUGUGUGCGUGUCUGCGUAAGGCUGUGCCGCUUUGGGGGAAGGCUCCCCUCUGUCGGCUUUCUACCUCGCCCCUCCUACGCCUCCUCGUUCCUCCCCCAGCACCACUGCCACCAUCACUGCACACAUGCGCACCUUCACCUCCCUAGCAGAUGGGUUCUAUUCUUAGUUCGUGUAGUCCUUCUUUAUGCGCGCGUUCGUGUAUGUUUGGCUGUACUUCACCUCUUCUUCAUCCCUUUCUACUUUCCUCGUAGCUUUCCUAUCCCUAUUUAUGAACGUUGUACACUUCUUGUUUUUUUUUCGUCUCAGCGAAAGAGAUUUAUACAUGUGCGUGUGCGUGUGUGCGCUAGCGUGGUGUCGAUGAUGUUGGUGUUUGCGCUUGCAUGUGUACGUGACUCAAAGGUCUUCGGUGAUGGCGAAAUGAUGUGUGUGUGUGUGUGGGGGGGGAUUUUUGGUUUUCCUUCUCACGCUGCCAUCUUAUCUUCGAUCCGUUGUUUUCUGCCUUGCUGUUAUCUUUUUGCCAAGCUUACAUGUGCAUGUAUCUCGGUGCUACCACACAGGUGUGCUCUUCUUUCCUUUUCGUUUACUUGGCCUUGCGCUUCACGUCAUCAUCAAAGCAUGUUUCUUUAUUCUUUAUAUGUGAGUAUGCCAUGCGCGUCUUUUCGUUUAGUAUGUGUCCCAUUACCUCUUUUUUUUCCGUUUCCCUCCUUUUUUUUUCAUGUGUUGGCGCGUGUGCUUGUUGGUGCAUCUCCACCCUUUUUGUAUGUGACCGUUGGCGUCUUUUUCCUUCCUUUCUUUUUUUUUAUUGUGUGCGUGUCUGCGUGUGUAUGGCUGCCCCAGUGCCUCAGUUUUACUCUUGCCCCCGUUUGCUCUCGUUGUUCGUCUCUUGCCCUCUGAUGACGAGGGAGCAUGCCCGUGCGUGGUAUCACGGGGCCCAGUGCUUCACUCCAUGUGGGACGCAGCCAGGCAGCCCUCCCCCUCCCUGCCAAUGCAGAGCCCUUGCAGGUGGUGACCGGCAUUACGGGCGAGGCUGUGAGGCGACUUGCGAGACGGUUGCGUGUGGAAGUCGAGGGCAGGGGCUCCGUGCUCUCAGGUGACGGAGUCGGCGCAUUGCGCUCUACCGCGCGUGUCUACGGCCGCUUCGCACCCCGCAAUGGGGGCCUGUACCGGACAGGGAUGGCGCAUGGCUCGUGCUGUAUGGCAUAAUGAACCCCCUGCCGGGACAGUGUGGUUUCUCUGCGGCCGCCAGCGCGUCUCGGCGCUUGCGCCGUGUUUGAUGCACUCUGUUGCAAUAUGUAGUUUUCUGUUGUCUCCCGCAGCGGUGAUGAGUGAUUACCUUAUUCGUUUGUUCGUUUGUGAAUGAACCGGGAUGCUGGGAAGACGGGUUGGUGCUUGUCGCCGGUUCCCCUCCUGGCUUGGAGUGGGCUGCGUUUUUCUUUUUUCUACCGUUUGUGUGUGUGUGUGUGUGUGUGUGUGUGCUUGUCCCUCUCGAUGUUUUUCGAGGAAGCAGUCG